AAACCAACAGGGAUUGCCUCAGUAACUGCGAGUGAAGCGGCAAGAGCUCAAAUUUGAAAUCUGGCACUUUCAGUGUCCGAGUUGUAAUUUGUAGAAGCAUCUUUUGAAUUGGUCCUUGCAUAUGUUCCUUGGAACAGGACAUCAUAGAGGGUGAGAAUCCCGUUCAUGGUGGGGAAUCCAAUUCUUUGUAAAGUGCUUUCGAAGAGUCGAGUUGUUUGGGAUUGCAGCUCUAAGUGGGUGGUAAAUUCCAUCUAAAGCUAAAUAUUGGCGAGAGACCGAUAGCGAACAAGUACAGUGAUGGAAAGAUGAAAAGUACUCCGAAAGGAGAGUGAAAAAGGACGUGAAAUUGUUGAAAGGGAAGUGCUUGAGAUCAGUCUUAGGGUUUAGUGAUCAGUCUUCCUUUUGGUUGGUGCACUCACUAUUUCUUAGGCCAACAUCAGUUUUCGCGGUAGGAUAAUGACAUUGGAAUGUGGCUCUUUCGGGAGUGUUAUAGACUUUGUUGAUACUACUUGCUUAGACUGAGGUCUGCGCUUUUUGCUAGGAUGUUGGCAUAAUGAUCUUAAGCAGC
rnacentral:rRNA from 1 species